CUCUGGUUCUGAAAGAACCUAGUGGGGAAACCCCCACUCAACUCUCGAUUCGGCGUGCACCCAAGAAUCACAAACAGAACA
rnacentral:pre_miRNA from 7 species